UGAGCAAUCCGCCCUUCACAUCGGAAUAACCAUUGGAAACGAUGGCUAAUACCGAAUAUGACUUCGGAUCGCAUGAUCUGAAGUGGAAAGCUCCGGCGGUGAAGGAUGAGCUCGCGGCCUAUCAGCUUGUUGGUGAGGUAAUAGCUCACCGAAGGCGAUGGACGGGUAGCCGGCCUGAGGAGGGGUCGACCCGGCCACACGUGGGACUGACGACACCGGCCCAGACCUACCGG
rnacentral:rRNA from 1 species